CCUACGGGGGGCUGCAGUGGGGAAUAUUGGGCAAUGGGCGCAAGCCUGACCCAGCAAUGCCGCGUGAAGGAAGAAGGCUUUCGGGUUGUAAACUUCUUUGACAGGGGAAGAGUAGAAGACGGUACCUGACGAAUAAGCCACGGCUAACUACGUGCCAGCAGCCGCGGUAAUACGUAGGUGGCAAGCGUUGUCCGGAUUUACUGGGUGUAAAGGGCGUGUAGCCGGGUUGACAAGUCAGAUGUGAAAUCCUGCGGCUUAACCGCAGAACUGCAUUUGAAACUGUUGAUCUUGAGUACUGGAGAGGCAGACGGAAUUCCUAGUGUAGCGGUGAAAUGCGUAGAUAUUAGGAGGAACACCAGUGGCGAAGGCGGUCUGCUGGACAGCAACUGACGGUGAGGCGCGAAAGCGUGGGGAGCAAACAGGAUUAGAUACCCUUGUAGUC
rnacentral:rRNA from 1 species